AGAAAGUACGAGCAAUUACUGUCCUCGGUACAUUUUAUCCUUGGGAUUACCAUCCAUUGUUGCCCUGGCAAUGAUCAUACUUUUACUUGUAUACUAUCAAAGAUGUCAAAAAAGAGGAAGAGCAGGACGGCAGAGACUUCAAAAGAAAAAUGCACAAGAACCAGAGACAGAAUAUGCAUCCCUGAGGCUACUGAAAUGAUUACUGACAGAAUGUCUUCAUGCAAUGACAUCUAAAUCUCGUAAAUCGUAGAAAGAAUGAUGGACAUAAUGAUUCACAACUCAAGAUUCAUGCAUUUCUGUCAUUUAAUUAAUCUUGUAUCUUGAAUGGCAGCAAAAAUGAAAAAAAAAAUUGUGUUAUUAUAUUAACCACACAUUUUCUUGUUUCACAAAAGAACAAAUCCAUCCAGGCUGGACUUUACCAGUUACUCUACCUGCAGAUUUAUCCACAUUCUGGGGAACUCUAUCCCCCUUUUAAUUAGUGCAACAUAAUGCUAUAAUUUCCUAUGUCGUGGCAUUGAAGGCCAUUUCACCAAUCUGCACAAUCUAAGCAGGGCCAGUUAAUAUUAAACCAUGAGUUUCAGGAGAGCCACUGACCUACUGAUGGUGUACCCUUUAAUAUGUGCUAAAUGUAAAAAGAAAAGAAACAGCAAGUAAUUACCUUUGUUACAGUACUUUUCAGUAUAGUAAAACAACCCAGUAGCAGAAAUGAAAAAUCCACAACCAGCCACAGUAUAAAGUUUAAUAUAAAACAAAACUCCAGAGUGUUUAAACUUUAUACUGUGGCCAGUUGUGGACUUUUCAUUAUAGUGUCUGGUACCACUUAAUAUGGCUUCAGCUUUUCCAAGGUCAGUGUACAUUUCUUGCUUUUUGAUAAAAUGAUUAAUUUUUUUAUCUUAAGAAACCUAAUUUGCAUUCACCCAGUUCUGUAUUUUCUUAUCUUUUUUCUUCUUCUCUUUUUAUUCUUUCCUUUUCUUUUAUUUUAUAUGUUAAAUAAACAAAUCUCUAUUUCACACAUUCUCAAAAAACUGAACAAACAGCAGUAUAUAAACGGACACAGAAUUAACCGAUUGUGUACCAUAUGAAAUUUUAUGCAAGGAAAAGUAAGUAGAUAGCCUAUAUCAGUAACCAAUGGAAAAGUCUGAAAUGAACUAUGCAAAUGCAAUUUUGGAAUUAAUAUUAUUAUCUCAUUACUCAUUUUAUGUUGAACUGCUGUUUAUUUUUUAGAGAACUCCAAAAAACUGUAUUAAUAAUAACUCUGUUUAAUGGCUGGGCUCAUAUACAGGUAAUUUGAAGUAAUGUUGUAAGACAUUGAGAGCAAUACAUAUAAAACUCAGUAUUGAUACAACGAGUGUCCCUGUUAAUAUUCAUGUCCUGGAACAACUGAGGUGUGAAUCAACAGAAAAAGACAGAAUAUCUGCAUGGGCAUAAUAAGGAAUGUAAUGAUAGGGUUGUCA